rnacentral:lncRNA from 1 species
AGUACUUUGGUUAAUUUUAGUGUUAUUUGGUUGCUGAAAAUUCGGCCAAGAAGAGGAAAGAAUUUGGGUUUCUUGCUAAUGCUUUCCUUACUUGUUUUAGUUGAGAAAUGGACUUGUAGUGGUUAUGUUUGAUGAAUUGCCUCACUUGAUUUGGUUGGUUACUUGCAAAAAGCUGAUUUGGGUUAAGAAACCCUAAACUCCAUUAGGCUAAUUUAGCUUAGCUUAUGGUUAGUGAGAUAGAGUUUGGUUAGUGUGAGGUUGGAUUAAGUUCAUUGGUGCAAAUGAAAUUUGGUUAGGGAUUGUGGUUGAUGAUUGUUAAAUUUGGUAUUGACUUGGGAGGGGAAUUUCGGACCAUUUGUAGGCCAUUUAGAUGUUAGUAUAUGUGUGUUUAUUUGGUACAAAAGUGGUUGAAAAACCUGCAUAAGAACCAUGAAAACGAACCAUAUGUUUGCGACAUUUGAAACCGGCAAAAUGGGUAAACAGGGCAACCCAGAACCUGAACUUGAGCUCCAUUUUUCUUAAUGUUCCGUGCUGAUUCAGAAGUUUCGUAAAACAUGAAAGUCGUAGCCCAUUGAGUCCUGAGUAUGCCUGCAAAAUUUCAGGUCAAUCGGAUUAGCGUAGCCUGAGUUAUCGACGAAAUGCUCAAGCCUGUUUUGACCCUCUGGUUCUACGCGUUUUCUGAUUUUGUUUCUGCCCAUGACUUUUCGAUUUUUAUAGAGUUCGAUCUGGGUGCCAACUCCUUCAUAAGAAGUUUAGAUCUUGAUCUCAGCUUCGAAACGGUAUAAAGUACGUCAAAAACCGAGUUCCGUAGCUCCGGUUAUGAUCAAAACAAUAUCGCUCGUCAGAACUGCCUUGUAUUUGGACAGUUCUGACGGGUACUUUGGCACUCGAAUUUUGUUUUGUUCUGAAUAGAUUCAGGUCUUGGCCAAAACAUGAAAGUUGUAGCCUUAUGUCUCAGCUUUCUAAUGCCUUUGGAAUUUCUUAAUUUCGAUUUCUGAGCCGUGAGUUACGGCCUUGCAAACAGGGCCUGUUUGGUAACUCGCAAUGAAACAGCUG